rnacentral:rRNA from 1 species
CGCCAGACUCCUACGGGAGGCAGCAGUGAGGAAUAUUGGUCAAUGGCCGCAGGGCUGAACCAGCCAAGUCGCGUGAGGGAUGACGGUCCUAUGGAUUGUAAACCUCUUUUGUCAGGGAGCAAAGGGCGCCACGUGUGGCGUUUUGCGAGUACCUGAAGAAAAAGCAUCGGCUAACUCCGUGCCAGCAGCCGCGGUAAUACGGAGGAUCCGAGCGUUAUCCGGAUUUAUUGGGUUUAAAGGGAGCGUAGGUGGAUUGUUAAGUCAGUUGUGAAAGUUUGCGGCUCAACCGUAAAAUUGCAGUUGAAACUGGCAGUCUUGAGUACAGUAGAGGUGGGCGGAAUUCGUGGUGUAGCGGUGAAAUGCUUAGAUAUCACGAAGAACUCCGAUUGCGAAGGCAGCAUACCGGCGCGCAACUGACGCUCAUGCACGAAAGCGUGGGUAUCGAACAGGAUUAGAUACCCUUGUAGAA